GAUGAACGCUGGCGGCGUGCUUAACACAUGCAAGUCGAACGGGAAACCUUUUAUUGCAGCUUCGGCAGAUUUAGCUGGUUUCUAGUGGCGGACGGGUGAGUAACGCGUGGGUAACCUGCCUUAUACAGGGGGAUAACAGUCAGAAAUGGCUGCUAAUACCGCAUAAGCGCACAGAGCUGCAUGGCUCAGUGUGAAAAACUCCGGUGGUAUAAGGUGGACCCGCGUUGGAUUAGCUGGUUGGUGGGGUAACGGCCCACCAAGGCGACGAUCCAUAGCCGGCCUGAGAGGGUGAACGGCCACAUUGGGACUGAGACACGGCCCAGACUCCUACGGGAGGCAGCAGUGGGGAAUAUUGCACAAUGGGGGAAACCCUGAUGCAGCGACGCCGCGUGAAGGAAGAAGUAUCUCGGUAUGUAAACUUCUAUCAGCAGGGAAGAUAAUGACGGUACCUGACUAAGAAGCCCCGGCUAACUACGUG
rnacentral:rRNA from 1 species